rnacentral:rRNA from 1 species
UCCGAAGGGUGCAAGCGUUAAUCGGAAUUACUGGGCGUAAAGCGCGCGUAGGUGGCUUGAUAAGUUGGAUGUGAAAUCCCCGGGCUCAACCUGGGAACUGCAUCCAAAACUGUCUGGCUAGAGUGUGGUAGAGGGUAGUGGAAUUUCCAGUGUAGCGGUGAAAUGCGUAGAUAUUGGAAGGAACACCAGUGGCGAAGGCGACUACCUGGACUAACACUGACACUGAGGUGCGAAAGCGUGGGGAGCAAACAGG